CUAUUGUGUGCAUAUAUAUAGUUACAUCAUAAGUAUAUUGGUUUUUGUCCUUAGUAUGUGAUGGUGUCUAACCUCUUAGAAUAUCAGGUAUUUCUACAUGUGAUUGAUUAAGAAAUUGAUAUACAUAUAUGUGAUAGUUGCCUAUUAAUAUGUUUGUAAAUUGAAAUUUUUCUAUUACUCUGAGUUUAGAACAUCUCUAAUCAUUUUUUUAUUUUUUUUUAGGUUGGAUAUUUUUUAAAUAUCAACCAGUGUUUUGUUCGAUGAUUAAUUAAACUUUGAGUUGAAUCGAUUAAUAUGAAUAUGACUAUUUUUUCAUGUGAAGGAGGAGAACAAGAUAAAACAUACUUAUAUUUUUGCUUACGUUGCAUCUUUGCUCCUUAUAAAGCCUAGGAAAUGACACCUCAUGUAAGGAUGUGUAUUUAACUCUAAUGGCAGUUUGUAAACCAUCAUUUUUUUUUUAUUGAUAUAAUGUUUGUAAUUAGACAACUUUUCUUUUUCAUUUAUUAUUUUAUUAGUCUAAUGUUUUAGCUUAUUUGUUUCUUAUUUUCUUUUUCAUUUAUUAUUUUAUAUAAGGUAAAAGAUUUGUAUAAAAAAU
rnacentral:lncRNA from 1 species